AUGCAUGAGCUCAAGUAUGAGGUUUGUCGGUCAAAAAGGGCUCACGAUGAUGCUGAGUGGGGCAACGAAGACGCAGACGGAGAAGCCGACGCAGAUCCAGCCGAGUGUGACGACGCGUGUCUCGCCAUGGAAGGCGAAGAGGGUGAGGAGGAAGAUGAGCCCGAAGCCGGCGAUGUUGAGGAGGACGACGAUCUUGGCUGUGAAAAUCUUGGCCUUCCUGGGGGCGUAGACGAGGUACAUGACGAUGUAGACGGUCUCGAUGACGCAGCCGGCAGCGUUGAUGCUGAUGAGGAGGCCCUCACCGGUCUUGACCAGUGCGUAGAAGAUCCACAGCAUCGCGCUGAACAGGGCCACGACGUAGGGCACCGACUGGAACCCCUCCGUGGAUUUGCUCUUGAAGAUCCGGUAGAAUGUUGGUCUAAUAUUUUAUUUUUGUGA
rnacentral:rRNA from 1 species